rnacentral:rRNA from 1 species
CCUACGGGAGGCAGCAGUGAGGAAUAUUGGUCAAUGGACGAGAGCCUGAACCAGCCAAGUAGCGUGAAGGAUGACGGCCCUAUGGGUUUUAAACUUCUUUUAUAUGGGAAUAAAACACGGUACGUAUAGACUCUUGUAUGUACCAUUUGAAUAAGGAUCGGCUAAUUCCGUGCCAGCAGCCGCGGUAAUACGGAGGGUCCGAGCGUUAUCCGGAUUUAUUGGGUUUAAAGGGAGCGUAGGUGGCUGGUUAAGUCAGGUGUGAAAGUUUGCGGCCCAACCGUAAAAUUGCAGUUGAAACUGGGAGGCUUGAGUACAGUAGAGGUAAGCGGAAUUCGUGGUGUAGCGGUGAAAUGCUUAGAUAUCACGAAGAACUCCGGUUGCGAAGGCAGCUCACUGGACUGCAACUGACGCUGAUGCUCGAAAGUGUGGGUAUCAAACAGGAUUAGAUACCCCAGUAGUC